rnacentral:rRNA from 1 species
GGGCCCGCACAAGCGGUGGAGCAUGUGGUUUAAUUCGACGCAACGCGAAGAACCUUACCAAGGCUUGACAUCUACAGAAUCCUUAAGAGAUUAGGGAGUGCCCUUCGGGGAGCUGUAAGACAGGUGGUGCAUGGUUGUCGUCAGCUCGUGUCGUGAGAUGUUGGGUUAAGUCCCGCAACGAGCGCAACCCCUAUAUUCAGUUGCCAGCAUGUAAAGAUGGGAACUCUGGAUAGACUGCCGGUGACAAACCGGAGGAAGGUGGGGAUGACGUCAAAUCAUCAUGCCCCUUAUGUCUUGGGCUACACACGUGCUACAAUGGGCAGUACAGACGGAAGCGAAGCCGCGAGGUAGAGCAAAUCCGAGAAAGCUGUUCGUAGUUCGGAUUGCAGGCUGCAACUCGCCUGCAUGAAGUCGGAAUCGCUAGUAAUCGCAGGUCAGCACACUGCGGUGAAUACGUUCCCGGGCCUU